CCUACGGGGGGCAGCAGUAGGGAAUAUUGCUCAAUGGGGGAAACCCUGAAGCAGCAACGCCGCGUGGAGGAUGAAGGUUUUCGGAUUGUAAACUCCUUUUGUUAGAGAAGAUAAUGACGGUAUCUAACGAAUAAGCACCGGCUAACUCCGUGCCAGCAGCCGCGGUAAUACGGAGGGUGCAAGCGUUACUCGGAAUCACUGGGCGUAAAGAGCGCGUAGGCGGGAUAGCAAGUCAGAUGUGAAAUCCUAUGGCUUAACCAUAGAACUGCAUUUGAAACUGUUAUUCUAGAGUAUGGGAGAGGUAGGUGGAAUUCUUGGUGUAGGGGUAAAAUGCGUAGAGAUCAAGAGGAAUAUUCAUUGCGAAGGCGACCUGCUAGAACAUAACUGACGCUGAUGCGCGAAAGCGUGGGGAGCAAACAGGAUUAGAUACCCCAGUAGUC
rnacentral:rRNA from 1 species